ensembl:lncRNA
UGAAUAUCCACUCCCACUCAUGACUUGCCAACAGUGCUCAACGGUUGCCUCCUCUAAAUAAGACCAAGGUCAAACACAAAUGUUAUUGAAAUGAGAGGUAGGCUGCCGUCGGCCAGAGGUGUCCAGUGACUUUGCAUGUGUAUUUGACAUUCAAACGCAUGGCUGAACCACAUCCUAAUGGUGUGUGGUCAUGGGUUUCACAGCCUAAGUAGUGUUCAAAGCCAGGUACCAGUGCUUAACACUUUUAAAUGAUAGGUGAGAAGAAACAUGAGGAGGAAGAAAAGGAGGAAAAUGACAAAGGGAUUGUUAGUUAGUCAAACCCAGCAACAUAUUGUCACCUAUUGUCUUUUUGUUUGUUUAUUUGUUUGUUGCUGUUGUUUUGUUGUCAGUACUGAGAUGGUGAUAAACAAGGGUGAGGAGAGAAGAAGCUUCACCGGCACACAGUUCAUCCAUAUACAACACCCGUGCCGUGAGUCAGUUCACACGCUCUUCACGCAGACAGAGAGAAAACACAAAGACAGACACACUGCAUCACCUUUUAAUUAAAAUGUACUCCCUGUCACCAUGGCUGAAAGGCGGUUUUGGAGGAUGUGGCCUGGUGCAGAGUGAGGGGCAAAUAUUGACUUCCUGGUUGGAUUUUCCACCUUGCCAUGGAGCAGAGUUUUAAAAGCACUUCCAGAAGUUUCAGUCGAGAGGGUCUCUGCUCUCUGUAGAGGCUUUGAGUGAAGGCCUUCAUUUAGACCACGGACUUCUGCAUCCAAAAAUAAUGUUCUCCUCUCAGAGUAAAGUAGCUUAGAGUCUUACAGGACCGCCAUCCCAGGUGUGUUGACAGAUGUGUGUGUGAACAAGUGUGGAUGUGUAAUUGGAGCAGAACCACCAAGCAGUUUAACUUGGGCCCCACCUGGACCCAACCUUCAUUUAAAAACCAUCCCACUGGAGCUCCGGAGCCAUCUACAGAGAAAUACCUUUAAAAAUACUUUCACAAUUAAAAAAU